AACGAACGCUGGCGGCAUGCCUAACACAUGCAAGUCGAACGAGACCUUCGGGUCUAGUGGCGCACGGGUGCGUAACGCGUGGGAACCUGCCCUUAGGUUCGGAAUAACUCCCCGAAAGGGGUGCUAAUACCGGAUAAUGUCUUCGGACCAAAGAUUUAUCGCCUUUGGAUGGGCCCGCGUUGGAUUAGCUAGUUGGUAGGGUAAAAGCCUACCAAGGCGACGAUCCAUAGCUGGUCUGAGAGGAUGAUCAGCCACACUGGGACUGAGACAAGGCCCAGACUCGUAAGGGAGGCAGCAGGGGGGAAUGUGGGAUAAUGGGGGGAAGCCUGAUGCAGCAACGCUGCGUGAGGGACGAAGGCCGGCGGGUCGUAAAACACGUUUAGCAGGGAAGAAGCGAAAGUGACGGUACCUGCAGAAAAAGCACCGGCUAACUACGUG
rnacentral:rRNA from 1 species